rnacentral:rRNA from 1 species
GAACCGGGCAAACGUUAUUCGGAAUUACUGGGCUUAAAGGGUGCGUAGGCGGCGCUUCAAGUCGGGUGUGAAAUCCCCCAGCUCAACUGGGGAACUGCGCCCGAAACUGGAGUGCUUGAGGGAGAUAGAGGUGAGCGGAACGAAUGGUGGAGCGGUGAAAUGCGUUGAUAUCAUUCGGAACACCCGUGGCGAAAGCGGCUCACUGGGUCUCUUCUGACGCUGAGGCACGAAAGCUAGGGGAGCGAACGGGGAUUAGAUACCCCGGUAGUCCUAGCUGUAAACGAUGAGCACUAGAUCGGGGAGCCCCUCCACAGCCUCCCCCCGAUCGUAGCGAAAGUGUUAAGUGCUCCGCCUGGGGAGUAUGGUCGCAAGGCUG